CAGAAGCAGAAGCAGAGGCAGAAGUUACAAAUAGUGCUUUGAGCUUUGUGUAUAUUUUGUACUGUAUGUACAACAAGACACUGUUGUCUUUGUUUUCUUCUCCACACAUAAAAAGAGAGAAACAGAACCCAACAAAACUUCUUUUAAUUAUGGAUUAUAAUCUAUCUCAAGAUCUUCUUCUCUCUAGAAAUCUCAGCUCCAUAUUUCCUCACUUCUUCUGCGUCAGUUUCCGGCAGCUGACGUCUGCUUCACGCCACCUGCGUCACACUCCGGCUUUCUGAUCUGGGUUCUUCUUUUCAAGUUACAGUGGAGUUCCAUUCAUUAGCUCCAACCAUCCGUUUGUUUCUCCGGAAAAUAACUUGAGAAAAAAAAAAAAAAAAGAA